rnacentral:piRNA from 1 species
UAAGUGAAAUCUUAGAAUGCAUCCAAGGA